AUUGAACGCUGGCGGCAUGCUUUACACAUGCAAGUCGAACGGCAGCGCGGGCUUCGGCUUGGCGGCGAGUGGCGCACGGGUGAGUAAUGCACCGGAACGUGCCCCGUAGUGGGGGAUAGUCCGGCGAAAGCCGGAUUAAUACCGCCUACGACCUGAGGGUGAAACCGGGGGACCGUAAGGCCUUGCGCUAUUGGAGCGGCAGAUGCCGGAUUAGCUAGUUGGUGGGGUAAAGGCUUACCAAGGCGACGAUCCGUAGCUGGUCUGAGAGGACGACCAGCCACAGGGGAACUUGAACACGCCCCAGAGUCCUGCGGGAGGCAGCAGUGGGGAACUGUGGACAAUGGGGGCAACUCUUAUCCAGCCAUGCCGAGUGCGAGAAGAAGGCCUUCGGGUCGGAAACCGCUUGUGUGCGGGAAGAAAUCCUCUGGGCUAAUACCCCGGGGGGAUGACGGUACCGGAUGAAGAAGCACCGGCUAACUACGUG
rnacentral:rRNA from 1 species